CCCGGGUCUUGUACACACCGCCCGUCACACCAUGGGAGUCGCUUCCGCCUUAAGCCGGUGAGCCAACCUUCGGGAGGCAGCCGACCACGGCGGGGGUAAUGACUGGGGUG
rnacentral:rRNA from 1 species